rnacentral:rRNA from 1 species
GAUGAACGCUGGCGGCGUGCCUAACACAUGCAAGUCGUACGCACUGGCCCAACUGAUUGAUGGUGCUUGCACCUGAUUGACGAUGGGUCACCAGUGAGUGGCGGACGGGUGAGUAACACGUAGGUAACCUGCCCCGGAGCGGGGGAUAACAUUUGGAAACAGAUGCUAAUACCGCAUAACAACAAAAGCCACAUGGCUUUUAUUUGAAAGAUGGCUUUGGCUAUCACUCUGGGAUGGACCUGCGGUGCAUUAGCUAGUUGGUAAGAUAACAGCCUACCAAGGCGACGAUGGGUAGCCGGCCUGAGAGGGUGAACGGCCACAUUGGAACUUAGACACGGUCCAA